rnacentral:rRNA from 1 species
AGGACGAACGCUGGCGGCGUGCUUAACACAUGCAAGUCGAACGAGAUCCUUCGGGGUCUAGUGGCGAACGGGUGAGUAACACGUGAGCAACCUGCCCAUGGCUCUGGGAUAGCCUCCGGAAACGGGGAUUAAUACCGGACAUGACCUGCUCUCGCAUGGGGGCGGGUGGAAAGUUUUUCGGCCAUGGAGGGGCUCGCGGCCUAUCAGCUUGUUGGGGGGGUAACGGCCCACCAAGGCGACGACGGGUAGCCGGCCUGAGAGGGCGACCGGCCACACUGGGGACUGAGACACGGCCCAGACUCCUACGGGAGGCAGCAGUGGGGAAUAUUGCACAAUGGGGGAAACCCUGAUGCAGCGACGCCGCGUGCGGGAUGAAGGCCUUCGGGUUGUAACCGCUUUCAGCAGGACGAAGCGAGAGUGACGGUACUGCAGAAGAAGCGCCGGCUAACUACGCGCCAGCACGCCGC